rnacentral:rRNA from 1 species
UGAGUACGAGAUGCUACGGCGUCGAAGCAGUGUAUGUCAGACUUCCAAGAAAAGCUCGCAAUGUCAUAAAUAAAGAAUGCCUGUACCAUAACCGACACAGGUGGGUAGGUAGAGUAUACUAAGGGGCGCGAGAUAACUCUCUCUAAGGAACUCGGCAAAAUAACUCCGUAACUUCGGGAGAAGGAGUGCCUUCUUUAAGAAGGUUGCAAUAACAAGAUCCAAGCGACUGUUUAUCAAAAACACAGGUCUCCGCUAAGUCGUAAGACGAUGUAUGGGGGCUGACGCCUGCCCAGUGCCAGAAGGUUAAAGAAGCUGGUUAGCAAUAGCGAAGCUGGUGACUGAAGCCCUGGUGAACGGCGGCCGUAACUAUAACGGUCCUAAGGUAGCGAAAUUCCUUGUCGGGUAAGUUCCGACCCGCACGAAAGGCGUAAUGAUUUGGAUACUGUCUCGGAGAGGGACUCGGUGAAAUAGACUUGUCUGUGAAGAUGCGGACUACCUGCACCAGGACAGAAAGACCCUAUGAAGCUUUACUGUAACCUGAAAUUGAAAUUGGACUUUAUUUGCGCAGUAUAGGUGGGAGGCGUUGAAAGUAAUCUUGCGGGAUUAGUGGAGCCAUCAGUGAGAUACCACUCCUAUAAUGUUAGAUUUCUAACUUUGGAUCAUGAUCUGGUCAAAGAACAGUUUCAGGCGGGCAGUUUGACUGGGGCGGUCGCCUCCCAAAUGGUAACGGAGGCGUACAAAGGUUUCCUCUGAACGGGUAGAAAUCGUAUCUAGAGUGUAAAGGCAUAAGGAAGCUUGACUGUGAGACCUACAAGUCGAGCAGGGACGAAAGUCGGUCUUAGUGAUCUGACGGUGCUGAGUGGAAAGGCCGUCACUCAACGGAUAAAAGUUACUCUAGGGAUAACAGGCUGAUCUCCCCCAAGAGUUCACAUCGACGGGGAGGUUUGGCACCUCGAUGUCGGCUCAUCGCAUCCUGGGGCGGUAGUACGUCCCAAGGGUUGGGCUGUUCGCCCAUGAAAGCGGUACGCGAGCUGGGUUCAGAACGUCGUGAGACAGUUCGGUCCAUAUCCGGUGUAGGCGUUAGAAUAUUGAGAGGAGCCUUCUCUAGUACGAGAGGACCGAGAAGGACAUACCUCUGGUGUACCAGUUAUCGUGCCAACGGUAAACGCUGGGUAGCUAUGUAUGGAGAGGAUAACCGCUGAAAGCAUCUAAGUGGGAAGCCCACCUCAAGAUGAGUAUUCUCAUC